GACGAACGCUGGCGGCGUGCUUAACACAUGCAAGUCGAACGGAAAGGCCCUUCGGGGUACUCGAGUGGCGAACGGGUGAGUAACACGUGGGUGAUCUGCCCUGCACGUUGGGAUAAGCCUGGGAAACUGGGUCUAAUACCGAAUAGGACCACGCGCUUCAUGGUGUGUGGUGGAAAGCUUUUGCGGUGUGGGAUGGGCCCGCGGCCUAUCAGCUUGUUGGUGGGGUAAUGGCCUACCAAGGCGACGACGGGUAGCCGGCCUGAGAGGGUGACCGGCCACACUGGGACUGAGAUACGGCCCAGACUCCUACGGGAGGCAGCAGUGGGGAAUAUUGCACAAUGGGCGCAAGCCUGAUGCAGCGACGCCGCGUGAGGGAUGACGGCCUUCGGGUUGUAAACCUCUUUCAAUAGGGACGAAGCGCAAGUGACGGUACCUAUAGAAGAAGCACCGGCCAACUCCGUG
rnacentral:rRNA from 1 species